UACGGAGGGGACUAGCGUUGUUCGGAAUUACUGGGCGUAAAGCGCACGUAGGCGGAUUUGUAAGUCAGGGGUGAAAUCCCGGGGCUCAACCUCGGAACUGCCUUUGAUACUGCAAAUCUCGAGUCCGGAAGAGGUGAGUGGAAUUCCUAGUGUAGAGGUGAAAUUCGUAGAUAUUAGGAAGAACACCAGUGGCGAAGGCGGUUGCCUGGAGCUUUGCUGACGCUGAUGCGCGAAAGCGUGGGGAGCGAUCCGG
rnacentral:rRNA from 1 species